rnacentral:rRNA from 1 species
AUUGAACGCUGGCGGAAUGCUUUACACAUGCAAGUCGAACGGCAGCACGGGGCAACCUGGUGGCGAGUGGCGAACGGGUGAGUAAUACAUCGGAACGUGCCCAAUCGUGGGGGAUAACGUAGCGAAAGUUACGCUAAUACCGCAUACGAUCUACGGAUGAAAGCGGGGGAUCGCAAGACCUCGCGCGAAUGGAGCGGCCGAUGUCAGAUUAGGUAGUUGGUGGGGUAAAGGCUCACCAAGCCAACGAUCUGUAGCUGGUCUGAGAGGACGACCAGCCACACUGGGACUGAGACACGGCCCAGACUCCUACGGGAGGCAGCAGUGGGGAAUUUUGGACAAUGGGCGCAAGCCUGAUCCAGCCAUUCCGCGUGCAGGAUGAAGGCCUUCGGGUUGUAAACUGCUUUUGUACGGAACGAAACGGCUCUCUCUAAUACAGGGGGCUAAUGACGGUACCGUAAGAAUAAGCACCGGCUAACUACGUGCCAGCAGCCGCAGUAAGAC